rnacentral:lncRNA from 1 species
UUUAUGUCUGCACAACGGUGGAUUAGUGUUCUUACAAUGUCCUUAGUGUGCAAGAUUAGUACCCAUCGAAGCAAACUUAACCGAAGAUGACUUGUAGCCUAGAAUGAGUAACCGUUGAUGUGUCGUGUUUUGUUUUGUUUUUCAUUUUGCUCGGAGUGUAAAAGUUCAAGUGUGGGGGAAUUUGAUCAGUGCAUUUUGAUGCACGUUCUUUCAUGUUUGUACUCAAGCAUUUCUUCGGUUUGCUUUGAUUAUUUUUAUGUUUUAAUGUGUUUUCAUAAUUUAUGUUAUAUUUGCACUUAUUUAAUUUUCGUAUUUAAUUUUCAGCAUUAGCAACUUUCGCGAGAAAAAUCAUAUCUUGAGCUAGGAGUAUCGGAUUGAGACGUGCUACCAGUCGAUGGAAAGAUAAGAAAAAGAUCUACAACUUUUGUUCAGAAGUCGAGAG